rnacentral:lncRNA from 1 species
AAUAAAAAUAAAAAUCUUUUAAUUAAGCAUUUUUUAUUUGUUUGUUCCUGUGAAAAUUUAACGAAGAAGAAAAGGAGAAGCCUCACAAAUAAGACUGGAAAAUGAAUUCAAAGAAAGAAAGAAAAAAACUUGUAAAAAUAGUUAAAAGAAUUGGCCAUAGCAGUUUCUUCAAUAAAUUCUUCUUCUUCUUCUUCUUCUUCUUCUUCAUUUUGUCUUCAAUUGGCCAUGGAAAAUGAUAAUGGCGUGGAGCUUGUUACUCCUAAGUAGCAGACAACAAAGAAACAUGAUCAAAUCCAAUUGCUUCUGAAACCUGACAGAACAACAGUGCCAAUCUUUAGGACAUAGAGUUAUGUGAUUCAUUCCAAAUGUUAAAAUCUUUAUACCAAGAACCCUAGAAACUUCCUGUCUCAUCAUCUGCAGUACACUAGCAUCAGCGUGUCUGUCUAUAUAUAUAUACACUUAGACGUCAUCACAAUCUAAGAUCCUGACAAUGUAUGGAGAAAAAGGAAAUAAUACCUAUCAAGAAUUUUUCAUCAGAUUUUUAAGAAAAGCAAAAUCUUCCUUUCAAAUCUUCUAUAAACAGAAACACAAUCAUAAUCAUCAUGAUUCAUAUAAGAAUACUUGAUUCAUGUUGAGAAAAUGCUUUUAAUCAAAUAACAGAGAACAAAAAAACUGAUGAAAGAGAUUUGAGAGAGUGUGACGAAUAGGAAGAUCUUCACAGAAAAGAAUAAUAACUACUUCUCUAAUUACAUUGGGUUUAAGUGGUUUACACUAUUUGAACUUGUAAUGGUGGUUCCUAUUUUUGGGGGAUUGUAACAAUCAC